rnacentral:rRNA from 1 species
UACCAGCACCCCGAGUGGUCGGGACGAUUAUUGGGCCUAAAGCAUCCGUAGCCGGUCCUACAAGUCUUCCGUUAAAUCCACCUGCUUAACAGAUGGGCUGCGGAAGAUACUACGUGGCUAGGAGGCGGGAGAGGCAAGCGGUACUCAGUGGGUAGGGGUAAAAUCCUUUGAUCCAUUGAAGACCACCAGUGGCGAAGGCGGCUUGCCAGAACGCGCUCGACGGUGAGGGAUGAAAGCUGGGGGAGCAAACCGG